UGAUGUGUGACCUCAGAGCAGAGGGUUGGUGGCUUGGGGUCACCAGCACGGGUGAUCCAGGGACCCUGAACAGGGAGGAGGGUACCUUGAGGCUCACUUAAUGGGACCCUGCAGUGAGGAGGGAAAGGGGGAUCUCCAUGAGGGAUCAUUGAAGACCUCAUAACAAGUCCACUGUUGUUUAUGGUCUUGGACCUGAGAUUUGGAUUGGUUGUCCUUGGUCCUCAGUGAGAGAAGGAAUUGUUUUUUCUCCCAGCUCUGUGAAGAGAGCUUACUAUCCCUCAGUAUGAAGCUCCAAAGUACACACUAAAGCAGUACAGAAUCUAAAAAAUAUAAAAGCUAAAACCUGAGGCAUCAGCUCCAUUCCAGUUACAGCCCAGCAAUUGGACCCCACAUUUUGACCUUGCUUGGCCCAGAGCACUACGGAUGAACCCACAAGACUGUGAGGAGCACAGGACACCUCCCUAAGUUACAUGGAUUGCUUUUCCAUCUCCAAUGGCAAAGGCCAGGAAUAUAGACAAAAGACUGGAGAGAUGCAGCCAAGGUUCUGACAGAACAAGAGGACACAGCCUGAAGCUGCAUCAAGGAAAAUAUAGGUAGGAUAUUAGCAAAACGUUUUUCACUGAAAGAGUGAUAAAGUACUGGAAUGGUCUGCCAGGGGAGGUGAUGGAGUCACCGUCCCUGGAUGUGUUUAAAACAAGAUUGGAUGUGGCACUUGGUGCCAUGGUUUAGUUGAGGAGUUAGGGCAGGGGUUGGACUCGAUGAUGUUGAAGGUCUCUUCCAGCCCAAUGAUUGUGUGAAUUCUGUGAAUUCUGUGAAAAGCUCUGCCAGGAAAUGGGGCUCCUCUUCACCACACACACACAAAGCACAGCACACCAGUGCCGUGGGUGACUUUAUUGAUGAUACCCCAUCUCCACAAAGCUUUGGUUACAUCUUCAACCCAUUGUGACAUAAACCAUCAACAUUUAACCUCUAAUAAUCACAUAUAAAAGCUGCCUCCAAGGUCGGAUGGACACGGCCUCAAGAGAAGGAUGUGGAAUUGCAGAAUCACACAAAGGAACGCCACCAUCAUGACAGACAAGGAAGGAGCAACUCACUAACUGUCCAUUAGUAAUUACUCCUUUUUGCUAAUAGCAACACAAUAUUACAUUUACAGGAUAUAAGUUAUGAAACUCUUUGGCUUGAAUACAGAAUAAAUAAAUUGACAUCAAAAACCAGGCUGGGAAAAAAGGGAUGGGCCUGGAUUUGUUGUUGGUUAUUGGAUUUCUAAAUGAAAUCAAGAAAUAUGCUUUAAAUGAUAGAGAGGCUUGUUGGGUAAAUUUUAGAAAUCUAAACUGACUAUAACAUUGGAAUAAGUGCAGCCUGAACAACCUCUACUGUCCAAGAACCUCUCUCAAUCCCAUUCAAGAAACAAGAGCAAGAGCCCAGUUUCAUCCAUCAGGAAAAACUCCUAGGCACUGGGACGUUACCAAUCUGUUGCACAGUGACAUUCCCAGGACAUCAUCAGCUCCUUCAGCAUUCCUGUGAGAAACACAAUGACUGAUGGACAUCCAGCAGCACAAAACAGAGUCCCAGUCUUCACAAAGCACCCACAAACCACAUCAUACAAGGCCCACUGAUGACAUUGCACCUCCACUGGUCUCUGUUUGCUAUUCAACAUUCACAUUCAUGUAUCUAACAACCAAAUCUACCCAAAGAUGAA